rnacentral:rRNA from 1 species
GGCCCGCACAAGCGGAGGAACAUGUGUUAAUUCGAUGAUACGCGAGGAACCUUACCCGGGCUUGAACUGCCAGCGAACGAUUGAGAGAUCAUGAGCCCUUCGGGGCGCUGUGGAGUGCUGCAUGUUGUCGUCAGCUCGUGCCGUGAGGUGUCGGCUUAAGUGCCAUAACGAGCGCAACCCUUUUCAUUAGUUGCCAUCAGGUAAUGCUGGCACUCUGGUGAUACUGCCACCGUAAGGUGUGAGGAAGGUGGGGAUGACGUCAAAUCAGCACGGCCCUUACGUCCGGGGCUACACACGUGUUACAAUGGGGAGUACAGAGAGUCAGGCGUUGGCAACACCGCCUUAAUCAAUAAAGCUCUCCUCAGUUCGGAUUGGGGUCUGCAACCCGACCCCAUGAAGCUGGAUUCGCUAGUAAUCGCGCAUCAGCCAUGGCGCGGUGAAUACGUUCCCGGGCCUUGUACACACCGCCCGUCAAGCCAUGAAAGCCGGGGGCGCUUGAAGUCCGUGACCGCAAGGAUCGGCCUAGAGCGAAACUGGUAAUUGGGGCU